AGUCGAUGGGAAACAGGUUAAUAUUCCUGUACUUCUUUAUAUUGCGAUGGGGAGACGGAGAAAGCUAGGCCAGCAUGGCGAUGGUUGUCCAUGUUUAAGGUAGUAGGCUGGGGACUUAGGCAAAUCCGGGUCCCUAAGGCCGAGAACUGAUGACGAGAUCUCUUUUAGAGAUUGAAGUGGUUGAUGCUCUGCUUCCAGGAAAAUCCUCUAAGCUUCAGAUAUAAAGGAACCGUACCCCAAACCGACA
rnacentral:rRNA from 1 species